AAUGUCCAUCACGGGAAACACAGAGAGAGCAACUCUGGUUUUGCUUUAAUCACAGAGCUCUUUGUUAGAUCUGUGGAAAGCAACUACAACAUAGAG
rnacentral:snoRNA from 1 species